AUACGGAGGGUACAAGCGUUAUCCGGAAUCAUUGGGUUUAAAGGGUCCGUAGGCGGACUAUUAAGUCAGAGGUGAAAUCCCACAGCUCAACUGUGGAACUGCCUUUGAUACUGGUAGUCUUGAGUUUUAUGGAAGUAGAUAGAAUGUGUAGUGUAGCGGUGAAAUGCAUAGAUAUUACACAGAAUACCGAUUGCGAAGGCAGUCUACUACGUAUAUACUGACGCUAAGGGACGAAAGCGUGGGGAGCGAACAGGAUUAGAAACCCUAGUAGUCC
rnacentral:rRNA from 1 species